AUGAAAUGAGGUGAAGGUCAAAUGAACCAUGCCAGGCAUACAUGAACAGUUAACAAUCCUUCCAUACAACAAAGAAAGUUGACCUAUUGCUUAUAGUUGAAAAACAGAUCAAAACACAAAAACUUAGCACUGAGCAAUGAAUAAUGACAAUGAGGUCAAGGUCAAAUAAAACCUGUGUGCCUGACAUGUACACCAUAAAAUAUUUCGAUACACC
rnacentral:lncRNA from 1 species